rnacentral:rRNA from 1 species
UACGUAGGGGGCUAGCGUUGUCCGGAAUCAUUGGGCGUAAAGAGCGUGUAGGCGGCCCGGUAAGUCCGCUGUAAAAGUCAAAGGCUCAACCUUUGAAUGUCAGUGGAUACUGCCGGGCUAGAGUCCGGAAGAGGCGAGUGGAACUCCUGGUGUAGCGGUGGAAUGCGCAGAUAUCAGGAAGAACACCAAUGGCGAAGGCAGCUCGCUGGGACGGUACUGACGCUGAGACGCGAAAGCGUGGGGAGCGAACAGG